GGGGAUGUAGCUCAGUGGUAGAGCACCUGCCUAAACAUGUAUGAGACACUGGGUUGCAUCCCCUGUACUCCCA
rnacentral:tRNA from 1 species